UGGGGAAUAUUGCACAAUGGGCGCAAGCCUGAUGCAGCCAUGCCGCGUGUGUGAAGAAGGCCUUCGGGUUGUAAAGCACUUUCAGCGAGGAGGAAGGUGGUGAGCUUAAUACGCUCAUCAAUUGACGUUACUCGCAGAAGAAGCACCGGCUAACUCCGUGCCAGCAGCCGCGGUAAUACGGAGGGUGCAAGCGUUAAUCGGAAUUACUGGGCGUAAAGCGCACGCAGGCGGUUUGUUAAGUCAGAUGUGAAAUCCCCGGGCUCAACCUGGGAACUGCAUUUGAAACUGGCAAGCUAGAGUCUCGUAGAGGGGGGUAGAAUUCCAGGUGUAGCGGUGAAAUGCGUAGAGAUCUGGAGGAAUACCGGUGGCGAAGGCGGCCCCCUGGACGAAGACUGACGCUCAGGUGCGAAAAGCGUGGGGAGCAAAACAGGAUUAGAUACCCUGGUAGUCCACGCUGUAAAACGAUGUCGAUUUUGGAGGUUGUGCCCUUGAGGCGUGGCUUCCGGAGCUAACGCGUUAAAUCGACCGCCUGGGGAGUACGGCCGCAAGGUUAAAACUCAAAGGAAUU
rnacentral:rRNA from 1 species